GGCGCGCUGCAGGCGGGUACCGCGGUCCCGGGGGCCCUCUGCAUGCCCGCCGGAUUCCAGCCCCCUGCCCUCGCGGAGCGCACGGUCUAGUGAAUUAGAGGGAAGCCCGGGAGUAAGCAUCAUGUUUAUUGAGCCAACAUUUAUCUCGGGGCGAGGUACUUCUGUUUCCAGAAGCCCCGUUGACCUGUGCGUGGGCGGCCUCCCUCUUACGCUAGGUGAGACCUUGGAUGUUUUGCCCAGGCUGUAAGACCUGGCAAGCAGAGGGCCCUCGGGAAAUGUUUGUUGAGUGAAUGCACGAUGAAACGGAGGUUUCUGCAUCCCCGACCUCUCCCGUCGGGUGGCGCCACUUCCCCCACGUGCCCCCAUUUCUGCUUGGGAAUCAGCUGUUCACCCAACAGGUCCUUAUGAACGGUCCGUCAGGUGUCAGGCCAGGGGUCCAGGCCCCAGGAUACUGCAGAAGCCCACUCGAAGAUGUACACACAUGUGACAACAGAGCAGAGGCUGAAGAGAUGCGUCUACAGGCCAACGCGCGCCGUGAUUACUGGUGGCACGGGAAACAGAGAAAGGCACGUGUGGAACAGAUUCUCCCUUCGUGCGUUCAGAGCCCUCCUGACACCUUGACUUUGGAUUUCUGGCCUCCAGAACCAUGAGGGAAUACAUUUCUGUUGUCUUAAGCCACCCAGUCUGUGGUCAUUGGCUGCGGCAGCCCUCGGAGACUCACGCAGGUGGAGGUACUGAGCAGGACAGAGCCCUGAGCACAUGAAAUCCCACAGCCUGUCACUCUUGGGUCUGGGAACCACCUUCAGAGCCAGCCGAGGGUCCUGGGACUGCUGGGUGUCAUUCCCGGACCCAGGCGUGGGAGGCAGCCCCGUAUCCGCUCUGGGCUUCAGUUGCUCAGCCGAGAGAGGGUUCUUCCACUUACACCACCACCCUCCUCCCCACCCAACUGGGAACAGAACCAGCACCCGCCUUCCUGGCCUCUCCCGGCCAUCUCUGGAGCCUGGGCUCUUUCCCCAGCAAGCAGCCAGGCUAGGACCCCACCAUCCCCAGCUGCAUCUCGGAGGCGCCAUCUGGUCUCUAACAUCCCUCAAAAGCUAGUGUCCCUGCCCAGUCCUCCUCUCCACCUCCGUUUGCUUCUCUAGGGACUGGCCACCUCCCAGCCCGACGCCAGCUCCAAGAGGGCAGGCCGCUGUCUGCAUCGUUCCCCGCCGUGUCCCCAGCGCCUGGCCCAGGGAAGACACUCGGUCCAUGUGUGCUGAGUGAGGGAACAAACACACCAAAGAGCCCAUUCCAGAAGCCUGGGAUUGGGGGUGUGGAGGGAUCCUCGUGGAGACCCGAGGAACUCAGGGUUUCUGUGGAUUCAAGCGGGGGGUUGCCCUUCACCUCAAAGCCAGGCUGCGGUGGGGGGGGGGGCGGUUAUCAUGCAGGCCCCCCACGCCCACCUCCACCCAAACUGGAGGCUCGGGGAAACCUGAAAGAAAACAUCGACACAACAAACAGAGGAAGCGCAGGAGACUUGGGGCCUGCAGACUUUCCCGUGUUGGCUGAGCCCGACGGGCCGGCACUCUCGGCUUGGCAGGGCUCCUUCGGGCUCACCCUCUGCAGGUGGUGCCUUCUUCACAGGCAUCGGUUGGCGGGGGCGUGGGGGAGCAGAGGGCA